rfam:Oryza sativa (indica cultivar-group) chromosome 9, whole genome shotgun sequence.
AAUAAGUGCACCCAUAAAUUUUCAUGACUAGUUUUGAUCAUACGUCUUAUUUAAAACUUUUUUAUGAUUAGUAUUUUUUUUAUUAUUGUUAGAUUAUAAAACAUGAAUAGUAAUUUAUGUUUAACUUAUGUAUUUUAAUUUUUUUAAAAAAAUUAAAUAAGAUGGAUGAUUAAAGUUGGAGACAGAAAAUUGAGAUGGUGGGAGUAGCC